rnacentral:rRNA from 1 species
AAUCUUCCGCAAUGGAAGCAAGUCUGACGGAGCAACGCCGCGGGAGCGAUAAAGGCCCUCCGGCCGUAAAACUCAGUUGUUAGGGAAGAACAAGACACGUUCGAAUAGGGCGGUACCUUGACGGAACCUAACGAACAAGCAACGGCGAACUACGUGUCAGCAGCCGCGGUAAUACGGAGGUGGCAAGCGUUCUCCGGAAUUAUUGGGCGUAAAGCGCGCGCCGGCGGUUUCUUAAGUCUGAUGUGAACGCCCACGGCUCAACCGUGGAGGGUCAUUGGAAACUGGGAAGCUUGAGUGCAGAAGAGGAGAGUGGAAUUCCAUGUGUAGCGGUGAAAUGCGUAGAGAUAUGGAGGAACACCAGUGGCGAAGGCGACUCUCUGGUCUGCAACUGACGCUGAGGCGCGAAAGCGUGGGGAGCGAACA